AGUUUAACCGUACCGAAGACAGUAGGUGACGCAAGUCUUAAUUUCCUACCGAGGACAACGAUUGAGAACAGUCAAUGGUCCCUCUAUGUCUACGGUGGCAUGGGGUUAUUUUUUU
rnacentral:sRNA from 1 species